rnacentral:rRNA from 1 species
UACGGAGGGGGCUAGCGUUGUUCGGAUUUACUGGGCGUAAAGGGCGCGUAGGCGGCCACUGCAAGUCAGUUGUGAAAUCUCCGGGCUUAACCCGGAAAGGUCAACUGAUACUGCAGGGCUAGAGUGCAGAAGGGGCAACUGGAAUUCUCGGUGUAGCGGUGAAAUGCGUAGAUAUCGAGAGGAACACCUGCGGCGAAGGCGGGUUGCUGGGCUGACACUGACGCUGAUGUGCGAAAGCCAGGGGAGCGAACGGG